rnacentral:tRNA from 1 species
GGGAAUGUAGCUUAGUGGUAGAGUGCUUGCCUAUUUUGCAUGAAGCCCUGGGUUCGAUUCCUCAGUACCA